GUAGGUGGCAAGCGUUGUCCGGGAAUUAUUGGGGCGUAAAGCGCGCGCAGGCGGUUCUUUAAGUCUGAUGUGAAAGCCCACGGGCUCAACCGUGGAGGGUCAUUGGAAACUGGAGAACUUGAGUACAGAAGAGGAAAGCGGAAUUCCACGUGUAGCGGUGAAAUGCGUAGAGAUGUGGAGGAACACCAGUGGCGAAGGCGGCUUUCUGGUCUGUAACUGACGCUGAGGCGCGAAAGCGUGGGGAGCAAACAGGAUUAGAUACCCUGGUAGUCCACGCCGUAAACGAUGAGUGCUAAGUGCUAGGGGGUUUCCGCCCCUUAGUGCUGCAGCUAACGCAUUAAGCACUCCGCCUGGGGAGUACGGCCGCAAAGGCUG
rnacentral:rRNA from 1 species